rnacentral:lncRNA from 1 species
GCAGCAGUAGUUUCGGGAGCAGGUCCUUCAGCAGCUCCAGUAGUUUCAGCAGUAUCAGCAGCAGAUCCUCUAACAGGUGCAGUAGUAGCAGUAGUAUCAUCCACCUCAGUCGAGUUCUUUUUCUACCUCUUCUUCAGAUCUCUCAAUCGUGCCAUACAUUUCUUUUUUGGUACAGCUAUUGUCUGACUUGAGCUCUAGAUUGGA